UACGUAGGGUCCGAGCGUUGUCCGGAGUUACUGGGCGUAAAGCGCGCGCAGGCGGCGGUGCUGGCCCGGCGUGAAAGCCCCCGGCUCAACCGGGGAGGGUCGUCGGGGACCGCACCGCUUGAGGGCGGUAGGGGCUGGUGGAAUGCCUGGUGUAGUGGCGAAAUGCGUAGAGAUCAGGCGGAACACCCGUGGCGAAGGCGGCCAGCUGGGCCGUCCCUGACGCUGAGGCGCGAAGGCGUGGGGAGCGAACGGG
rnacentral:rRNA from 1 species